rnacentral:rRNA from 1 species
UACAGAGGUCUCAAGCGUUGUUCGGAUUCAUUGGGCGUAAAGGGUGCGUAGGCGGCGCGGUAAGUCGGGUGUGAAAUCUCGGAGCUUAACUCCGAAACUGCAUUCGAUACUGCCGUGCUUGAGGACUGGAGAGGAGACUGGAAUUUACGGUGUAGCGGUGAAAUGCAUUGAGAUCGGAAAGAACACCAACGGCGAAAGCACUCUGCUGGGCCGACACUGACACUGAGAGACGAAAGCUAGGGGAGCAAAUGGG